AAUCCCUAGUCGCCUCCUUCGUCAUCUUCAUGCCAAGAAUGACAACAAUGCCACGCAUGCAGUCUGGGUUGGCCCAUUUCGGGCAAGAGGAAUUAAUUCCCUUGCCCAUUUCAACCACCAUGUCACCACCGAGAAGAGUCUCGGGUGGUGAAGCAAGGGCUUCAAUUCCACCCUGGACAAAGGUUGCGCUUGAAAAAAGGUAUAGACAGUCGGUUUGGUGACCCUUCAGCAUAGGACUUCUACUCAGCUGUCUUGGAGAGCUCCGUUGUUCCGGAGUUUAGGCCUUUGGUACAGAUCUUAUGAUAUGUAUAUAUAUAUAUAUAUAUAUAUAUAUAUAUAUAUAUGUUUAUCCAGCAGUACGGCGGGGCCCUGUCCCGUCAUAUUUCGCUAGCGAUACUCUUAGAGGUCUGUAGACAUAUGUGUGGGUUGUGUAUAGGUUUUGUUCAGCUGUGUCUAUACGAUGUGCUGUGGUAUGAUAUUCGUCUAUAGUGGCAGCCUUGUCGGCAUGCAUAUGAUAUUGAGAUGUGAUGGCAGCCUUGUCGGCUUACGUAUUAUUUGAUAUGAUUAGUUGUGACUCUUCAGGUAACAGUGAUCGGGAGGUAUAUAUAUAUAUAUAAUGAUGUUACGAAUUUUGGAGUUCCUUUAUAAGUUUCCGUAUUGUUGUAGUUUCAGUUUGGUUAUAUGUAACAGGUUGGUAUACGGGUGCCCAGUUCGGGCACCAGUCGCGGCCUACGGGGUUGGGUCGUGACAGCAUCAUUGUUCAGAUGAGGCAGAAUCUAUGCCUCUCUGAACUUUUGUACAAGUCUAAGGGAAAGACAAUGACACAAAGGACCAAAAUAACUCUUGUGAUUUAGUAUUUCUUAGUUUUCUAAGAGAACACUUAUUACUAACAACUUCAAGUUGAUCCACCUCCCUUAGAAAGAAAAAGCAGUCCACUUAUUUAAACAACCAGUUUUUUUUCUUAGUUUCCAAUGUUCCUUUAGACAUCCAGACAAGUUAAUUUCCCUCUUUCUAUUUCAAACCUUUGAUAAACUGGUGAAGUUUAAGGAGAUCAAUUCACUGCCUUGAUAGAGAUGCCCCCCCCCCCCCCCUCAUGGGUUCAUAGAAUGUGCCAUGACACCCUUCAUUUGGAGGGAGGUACUAUGAAUUAAGCUAUGCUUGGCUCUUCCCUACCCUCUCUUUGAGAUAACUUUGAAAAGGCAAUUCUAUGCCAUGUGGUUCAUAAUCUAUUUAAGAACAAUAACAACAUCCUUAAACAACAACAUUAGACCAACUCUGGUUUAGCACUUAUUCACCAUUUGACACAGAAUCAGUGUUUACCUAUUUCAUCCUACAGUUCUAAUCAUGAUAUGAGUUUAGAUACACCAACAUUAUAGAGAAAAAACUCACUAAACAGAGUACACCCUCAUCUUCUCAAUCCAUGUUAUACAACAAUGCAUAGUAAGGUCUAAAGGUAACCGUUCAAGUUCAAAGGCAAGAAUUUCUACCAAUAUUACCUUAGCUAAAGUUUUCACU